rnacentral:misc_RNA from 1 species
UUAAAUUCAGCGGGUAUCCUCACCUGAUCCGCGGUCAUUUUAGGGAACAUCCACUAAGUUUCCGCCAGCAGAAACUUUGGUAGAUGCUAAAAAAAGUUUGAAUUCGGAUACGUAAUAAGCAUUUCCACAGUGACUCUAGUGUUUAACUACACUGGAACACCUAAUUGUACCGCCAAUAACUUUGAGGCGUCCACAUAGAG